rnacentral:rRNA from 1 species
UACGUAGGGUGCGAGCGUUGUCCGGAAUUACUGGGCGUAAAGAGCUCGUAGGUGGUUUGUCGCGUUGUCCGUGAAAACUCACAACUCAAUUGUGGGCGUGCGGGCGAUACGGGCAGACUGGAGUACUGCAGGGAGACUGGAAUUCCUGGUGUAGCGGUGGAAUGCGCAGAUAUCAGGAGGAACACCGGUGGCGAAGGCGGAUCUCUGGGCCAAUUACUGACGCUGGAGGAGCGAAAAGUGUGGGGAGGCGAACAGG